rnacentral:rRNA from 1 species
AACGAACGCUGGCGGCAUGCCUAACACAUGCAAGUCGAACGAGACCUUCGGGUCUAGUGGCGCACGGGUGCGUAACGCGUGGGAACCUGCCCUUAGGUUCGGAAUAACUCCCCGAAAGGGGUGCUAAUACCGGAUAAUGUCUUCGGACCAAAGAUUUAUCGCCUUUGGAUGGGCCCGCGUUGGAUUAGCUAGUUGGUAGGGUAAAAGCCUACCAAGGCGACGAUCCAUAGCUGGUCUGAGAGGAUGAUCAGCCACACUGGGACUGAGACACGGCCCAGACUCCUACGGGAGGCAGCAGUGGGGAAUAUUGGACAAUGGGCGAAAGCCUGAUCCAGCAAUGCCGCGUGAGUGAUGAAGGCCUUAGGGUUGUAAAGCUCUUUUACCCGGGAUGAUAAUGACAGUACCGGGAGAAUAAGCUCCUUUUAACUCCGUG